CCUGGCUCAGGACGAACGCUGGCGGCGUGCCUAAUACAUGCAAGUCGAGCGAGUCUGCCUUGAAGAUCGGAGUGCUUGCACUCUGUGAAACAAGAUACAGGCUAGCGGCGGACGGGUGAGUAACACGUGGGUAACCUGCCCAAGAGAUCGGGAUAACACCUGGAAACAGAUGCUAAUACCGGAUAACAACAGAUGAUGCCUAUCAACUGUUUAAAAGAUGGUUCUGCUAUCACUCUUGGAUGGACCUGCGGUGCAUUAGCCAGUUGGUAGGGUAACGGCCUACCAAGGCGAUGAUGCAUAGCCGAGUUGAGAGACUGAUCGGCCACAUUGGGACUGAGACACGGCCCAAACUCCUACGGGAGGCAGCAGUAGGGAAUCUUCCACAAUGGACGCAAGUCUGAUGGAGCAACGCCGCGUGAGUGAAGAAGGGUUUCGGCUCGUAAAGGCUCCCUGUUGUUGGUGAAGAAGGACAGGGGUAGUAACUGACCUUUGU
rnacentral:rRNA from 1 species